rnacentral:rRNA from 1 species
CAGAGGGAAACUUCUGAUAAUACUAGAUAAAGUUAGUAGUAGCAUUACUAAGUAAUGAAAAGUAGCAAUACGCUAUAUGAGAGCUUUUGCAUCCUAUUAGCUAGUUGGUGGGGUAAAAGCCCCUACCCAAGGCGAUGAUAGGUAGCGGCCCUGAGAGGGUGGACGGCCACAAGGGGACUGAGAUACGGCCCUUACUCCUACGGGGAGGCAGCAGUGGGGAAUAUUGGACAAUGGAGGCAACUCUGAUCCAGCAAUUCUGUGUGUGUGAAGAAGGUUUUAGGACUGUAAAACACUUUUAGUAGGGGAAGAAAGAAAUGACGGUACCUACAGAAGAAGCGACGGCUAAAUACGUGCCAGCAGCCGCGGUAAU